ACCAUAUAAUCUCAUCUCAUUUCAUUUCAUUAACUUGAAAAACAAACAAUUCGUUGAAUUUUUCUUGGAUCAACAUUUGUCAAAUUGUAUCCAAAACAAAGUUGUUUGCGAAAUGCGUAGAAUAAUUUAUUUAUGUAUGUGCAGGCACGAGGUCAACCGAUCGACUAUUUGCGUCAAAGAGAAUUCAAUCGCUAAGUUUUAAUUUGCCUACGAAUUCUAAAUCAACUGAAUAUAUGAUAAUGACAAGCAAGACGUCAAAACGACACCCAUCAAAAUUGAGGUUGACAUUUUGAAUUAAUGGCGUACAAAAAUGAGAUCGCCUCAAUCAUUCCGGUCAAGUAUUGUAACAGAAAUUUCGUGACGUACAUUUUGCUUCUUUUUUUUACUAAGCGAUAUGUAUGUACUACAAUAUUUAGCUUAUUACCGGUUCGCAUUCGAAACAAGUCUUAAGCAUGAUAAAACUGUACACCAAUCGCUAACAAUGUUACUAUUACACGUGUGAAAUUAAGAAAAAAAUAUCUUAAUUUACCUCGAUAGCAGAAACAAAAGACAUCGAUUUAAGUAUUUUUGUGUAAAAUCCUAUAAAAUACCAAUCCUGUUGUAAGCUAUUUGAAGAUUAAUAAGUUUAAAAUAACUCUCCAUCACGGCGAAUGUAAUCCUUGAUUUAAUAUGCAAUUACGCUCAGAAUUCCGUAUGCAGGUAUUAUAAAACCACCGUUAAAGCCAAAGAGGCGGGCGACAGUCGGCGCCAGCCUCUAACGGACCGCGCCAAUGCCUUUUAAGGCUGAGCGAGAAAAAAAACGAAGCCACACUUUAAUUAGCGACCAAAGAUUUGUUAUUCCGAGUCAAGGGUAGUUAAAACAAGAUGAAGUACAGACAAAUAUAUAAAUGGGCACAUUGUCCCACAUGGUUGUAUGGCGCAAACCAGGAUCCCCUGUACCGUGGGAAUCGAACCUACCACGGUACGGACAUAAUGUUUAUAAAAAGAAAUUAUUAAUUUGUUCACAUAUGUCUCAUCACAUAUUCAUUCGUUAUUUAUAGCAUCAAUACUUAAAUAAAAUAAUAGAAUCCGGUGUGACAGUGCAUUAAAAAUAAAUAUAAUUAAUCAAAAGUUAAUAACUAAAGAAGUUCAAUAGAAGAAAAACCAGUGAUUUUUAUAAAUAUUUAUGUCUAUAUGUUUGUUCUAUCUGAUUCUAUCUGAACACAUCUUAGGUUAAAUUUCAACUUUGUAUUAUUAAAAUAUGAUGUUAUAAAAAAGCGAUCAUCGUUUCAAGGUUGUUGGAAUACAUUUUACACUGGCAGAAAUUCGUUGCAAAUAAAAAUAUAUAUAUGUAAUCCGAAA